GAUGAACGCUGGCGGCGUGCCUAAUACAUGCAAGUCGAGCGAACAGACGAGGAGCUUGCUCCUCUGACGUUAGCGGCGGACGGGUGGGUAACACGUGGAUAACCUACCUAUAAGACUGGGAUAACUUCGGGAAACCGGAGCUAAUACCGGAUAAUAUAUUGAACCGCAUGGUUCAAUAGUGAAAGACGGUUUUGCUGUCACUUAUAGAUGGAUCCGCGCCGCAUUAGCUAGUUGGUAAGGUAACGGCUUACCAAGGCAACGAUGCGUAGCCGACCUGAGAGGGUGAUCGGCCACACUGGAACUGAGACACGGUCCAGACUCCUACGGGAGGCAGCAGUAGGGAAUCUUCCGCAAUGGGCGAAAGCCUGACGGAGCAACGCCGCGUGAGUGAUGAAGGUCUUCGGGUCGUAAAACUCUGUUAUUAGGGAAGAACAAAUGUGUAAGUAACUAUGCACGUCUUGACGGUACCUAAUCAGAAAGCCACGGCUAACUACGUG
rnacentral:rRNA from 1 species